rnacentral:rRNA from 1 species
GUUGAACGCUGGCGGCGUGCUUAACACAUGCAAGUCGAACGCGAAAGAGACUUCGGUCUCGAGUAGAGUGGCGCACGGGUGAGUAACGCGUGGAUAAUCUGCCCUCAUGACCGGGAUAACAGUUGGAAACGGCUGCUAAUACCGGAUACGCUCUGAAUGAACUUUUAGGGGAAAGACGGCCUCUGCUUGCAAGCUGUCGUAUGAGGAUGAGUCCGCGUCCCAUUAGCUAGUUGGCGGGGCAACGGCCCACCAAGGCAACGAUGGGUAGCCGAUCUGAGAGGAUGAUCGGCCACACUGGAACUGAAACACGGUCCAGACUCCUACGGGAGGCAGCAGUGGGGAAUAUUGCGCAAUGGGCGAAAGCCUGACGCAGCGACGCCGCGUGAGGGAUGAAGGUUUUCGGAUCGUAAACCUCUGUCAGAAGGGAAGAAAGUGCGUGGUGCUAAUCAGCCGCGCAUUGACGGUACCUUCAAAGGAAGCACCGGCUA